UGCAAGUUGAGCGAUGAAGAUUGGUGCUUGCACCAAUUUGAAGAGCAGCGAACGGGUGAGUAACGCGUGGGGAAUCUGCCUUUGAGCGGGGGACAACAUUUGGAAACGAAUGCUAAUACCGCAUAACAACUUUAAACAUAAGUUUUAAGUUUGAAAGAUGCAAUUGCAUCACUCAAAGAUGAUCCCGCGUUGUAUUAGCUAGUUGGUGAGGUAAAGGCUCACCAAGGCGAUGAUACAUAGCCGACCUGAGAGGGUGAUCGGCCACAUUGGGACUGAGACACGGCCCAAACUCCUACGGGAGGCAGCAGUAGGGAAUCUUCGGCAAUGGACGAAAGUCUGACCGAGCAACGCCGCGUGAGUGAAGAAGGUUUUCGGAUCGUAAAACUCUGUUGGUAGAGAAGAACGUUGGUGAGAGUGGAAAGCUCAUCAAGUGACGGUAACUACCCAGAAAGGGACGGCUAACUACGUGCCAGCAGCCGCGGUAAUACGUAGGUCCCGAGCGUUGUCCGGAUUUAUUGGGCGUAAAGCGAGCGCAGGUGGUUUAUUAAGUCUGGUGUAAAAGGCAGUGGCUCAACCAUUGUAUGCAUUGGAAACUGGUAGACUUGAGUGCAGGAGAGGAGAGUGGAAUUCCAUGUGUAGCGGUGAAAUGCGUAGAUAUAUGGAGGAACACCGGUGGCGAAAGCGGCUCUCUGGCCUGUAACUGACACUGAGGCUCGAAAG
rnacentral:rRNA from 1 species